rnacentral:lncRNA from 10 species
CUCUGGGAUUGCUCCAUCAGAGCCCUGGGCGUGGAACAUUCCUCUAUAUGGAAGCUAAGUGCUGAGCUGUUGCUUGUUCUCUGAUGCUUUUUCCUAAUUAGGAGAAAACUCGCCCCUGUUCUGGGUACAGAGUGAGCUUCCUUGUAUUGCUCAAGUGUGUGCUACAUGGCCAGCCUCACCAGUAUAUCUUCUACCACCACACCACCCAAGGGAAUGUGGGUGUUCUCCAGCAGCCCAAGAGAUCUGUGUUCAGCCCUUCACCCUGCGUUGGCUAUUGGGAAGGACUUCUGGCCAUGGGAGGUGGGUGCACACCACAGGGUACCCUUGAUGCUGGUCUCUUCUUCCUUUGCUGGUCAAUCAAGAGGAAAGUUCAAUUUCUGGGGAGAAAUGUCUAUUGAUUACUACACCAACAGCAAUUACAUUGAAGCCGAGGCCAGUGAGUAAGAUGAUGGAUACACUGAAGAUUAAAGGGGAGAAUAGAUUUGCUCAAGUCCAC